rnacentral:rRNA from 1 species
UAGAGUUUGAUCCUGGCUCAGGAUGAACGCUAGCUACAGGCCUAACACAUGCAAGUCGAGGGGCAGCGGGAAAUAAGCUUGCUUAUUUUGCCGGCGACCGGCGCACGGGUGCGUAACGCGUAUCGAACCUGCCGCUCACUGGGAAAUAGUCUCCUGAAAGGGAGGUUAAUGUCCCAUGGCGUCAUAUAAGGACAUCCUUUAAUGACGAAAGAUUCAUCGGUGAGCGAUGGCGAUGCGUCCCAUUAGGUAGUUGGCGGGGCAACGGCCUACCAAGCCGACGAUGGGUAGGGGUUCUGAGAGGAAGGUCCCCCACAUUGGAACUGAGACACGGUCCAAACUCCUACGGGAGGCAGCAGUGAGGAAUAUUGGUCAAUGGGCGAGAGCCUGAACCAGCCAAGUAGCGUGAAGGAUGACGGCCCUAUGGGUUGUAAACUUCUUUUACAGGGGAAUAAAGUGAGUUACGUGUAGCUUAUUGCAUGUACCCUGCGAAUAAGGAUCGGCUAAUUCCGUGCCAGCAGCCGCGGUAAUACGGAAGAUCCGAGCGUUAUCCGGAUUUAUUGGGUUUAAAGGGAGCGUAGGCGGGCUGAUAAGUCAGUGGUCAAAGCGUGUGGCUCAACCAUACCACGCCGUUGAAACUGUCAGUCUUGAGUGCACGCGAGGAUGGUGGAAUUCGUGGUGUAGCGGUGAAAUGCUUAGAUAUCACGAAGAACUCCGAUUGCGAAGGCAGCUGUCCGGAGUGCAACUGACGCUGAUGCUCGAAAGUGCGGGAAUCAAACAGGAUUAGAUACCCUGGUAGUCCGCACCGUAAACGAUGAAUGCUCGUUCUGCGCGAUAGACUGUGCGGAACCAAGCGAAAGCGUUAAGCAUUCCACCUGGGGAGUACGCCGGCAACGGUGAAACUCAAAGGAAUUGACGGGGGCCCGCACAAGCGGAGGAACAUGUGGUUUAAUUCGAUGAUACGCGAGGAACCUUACCCGGGCUUGAAUUGCAGACGAAUGUGGCGGAAACGCCGCAGCCGCAAGGCGUCUGUGAAGGUGCUGCAUGGUUGUCGUCAGCUCGUGCCGUGAGGUGUCGGCUUAAGUGCCAUAACGAGCGCAACCCCUACCGCCAGUUACCAUCGGGUAACGCCGGGGACUCUGGCGGGACUGCCGUCGUAAGGCGCGAGGAAGGUGGGGAUGACGUCAAAUCAGCACGGCCCUUACGUCUGGGGCGACACACGUGUUACAAUGGGCGGCACAGAGGGCAGCGACGCGGCGACGCGGAGCCAAUCUCACAAAACCGCUCUCAGUUCGGAUCGGAGUCUGCAACCCGACUCCGUGAAGCUGGAUUCGCUAGUAAUCGCGCAUCAGCCAUGGCGCGGUGAAUACGUUCCCGGGCCUUGCACACACCGCCCGUCA